rnacentral:rRNA from 1 species
CGCGCACGGGUGAGUAACGCGUAUCCAACCUGCCCUUUACUAUGGGACAGCCCGUCGAAAGGCGGAUUAAUACCGUAUGUUGUCAUGUUGAUGCAUAUUUUCAUGACCAAAGGCUUCGGCCGGUAAAGGAUGGGGAUGCGUCUGAUUAGCUUGCCGGCGGGGUAACGGCCCACCGGGGCGACGAUCAGUAGGGGUUCUGAGAGGAAGGUCCCCCACAUUGGAACUGAGACACGGUCCAAACUCCUACGGGAGGCAGCAG